GGAAACGUUAUUCUUGAAAUCAACUUCCAUCGCUGCGUGGGCAAAAGAUGUGGGUGGAAGCUCCAAUGCGAACAGACAACGGACGAGAACACGAAGUUCCGUUCCCGCCAAAGUGGUCAUAUACUUCCAGAGCCUGACGGCGCAGAAUGUUCGACA
rnacentral:lncRNA from 1 species